GAUGAACGCUGGCGGCGUGCCUAAUACAUGCAAGUCGAGCGAACAGACGAGGAGCUUGCUCCUCUGACGUUAGCGGCGGACGGGUGAGUAACACGUGGAUAACCUACCUAUAAGACUGGGAUAACUUCGGGAAACCGGAGCUAAUACCGGAUAAUAUAUUGAACCGCAUGGUUCAAUAGUGAAAGACGGUUUUGCUGUCACUUAUAGAUGGAUCCGCGCCGCAUUAGCUAAUUGGUAAGGUAACGGCUUACCAAGGCAACGAUGCGUAGCCGACCUGAGAGGGUGAUCGGCCACACUGGAACUGAGACACGGUCCAGACUCCUACGGGAGGCAGCAGUAGGGAAUCUUACGCAAUGGGCGAAAGCCUGACGGAGCAACGCCGCGUGAGUGAUGAAGGUCUUCGGAUCGUAAAACUCUGUUAUUAGGGAAGAACAAAUGUGUAAGUAACUAUGCACGUCUUGACGGUACCUAAUCAGAAAGCCACGGCUAACUACGUG
rnacentral:rRNA from 1 species